GUGGGGAAUUUUCCGCAAUGGGGAAAAGCUUGAGGGACAAAUGCCGCGUGGAGGUAAAGGCCCCUGGGUCAUGAACUUCUUUUCCCGGAGAAGAAAAAAUGACGGUAUCCGGGGAAUAAGCAUCGGCUAACUCUGUGCCAGCAGCCGCGGUAAGACAGAGGAUGCAAGCGUUAUCCGGAAUGAUUGGGCGUAAAGCGUCUGUAGGUGGCUUUUUAAGUUCGCUGUCAAAUCCCAGGGCUCAACCCUGGACAGGCGGUGAAAACUACUAAGCUAGAGUACGGUAGGGGCAGAGGGAAUUUCCGGUGGAGCGAUGAAAUGCGUAGAGAUCGGAAGGAACACCAACGGCGAAAGCACUCUGCUGGGCCGCC
rnacentral:rRNA from 1 species